AAAUGGGCCAGCUACAUUUUCUGGUUGUAAAGCAGACCCCAAUAUCCAGAAUUCAUAGUGAUUUCAAGAUGUGAAGAACUGCCCCGUGGAGGUGUAUCCAAUUGAACAGAAAAAUCGAAAUCUCUGUUUGUAGCCAGAGGAUUUUGAAACGGAACUGAAGUCUCAACUGAUGAGGUUGCCAUAUCGUCGAACAUUGAAAAGGGAUGCUAAUUCCAUCGUUUCCCCCCUUCACUUCAAAGAGGAAGGCAUCCGAUCAGCCAAAAUCAGUGCAGCAGAAAAGAGGACAAGCUGAGGUAAGGUAGCUAAUGUUACCUAGCUAGCUAGGGAACCUACAUUUGUUUAUCUAAACUAAAAUCUAGCCAGCUAGCGUUCAUAAUACGCUGGCUAGACAUUCCAAAGCAUACCAAUGUAAAUAGCCAGCUGCUAGUUGGCAUGCUAACUGCAGGAAUGUCCACCAGGGCUGUUGCCAGGGAACUGAAUGUCCAUUUUUCUACCAUAAGCCGCCUCCAACAUCAUUUUUUUAGAAUUUGGCAGUGUAUAAAACUGGCCUCACAACCGCAGACCAUGUGUAACCACGCCAGCCCAAGACCUCCAUACGGGCUUCUUCACCUGCAGGAUCGUCCAAGUGUGACUUGUUACUUUGCAAUCUAACAUUAGCUUCGUGUCGCGUCUACUCCCACUCCUCCCCUCCGGCAUUCAAAGUCGUGUGACUUGUCAACGUGUGACUUGUCUGUCAACGUGUGACUUGUUACUUUGCAAUCUAGCAUUAGCUUCGUGUCGCGUCUACUCCCGCUCCCACCCUCCAGCAUUCAAAGUCGUGUGACUUCUUACUUUGCAAUCUAACAUUAGCUUCGUGUCGGGUCUACUCCUGCUCCUCGCCUCCGGCAUUCAAAGUCGCCGGUAUACUAACCACCGGUCCUGGGAUCCAUCAUUAUGCACACCUGGCAUCAAUCAUUAUGCACACCUGCACGUCAUCAUGAGGCACACCUGGACUCCAUUACCUCCCCUAUAUCUGGCACUACCUUAGGUUAUUUCACCAGUCAGUAUUUUUUUUUCCUGUGUUUAUGCAUAGACAAUACUGUUAUGUUGUCUCGGUCCACAUUUGCUGUUUUAUUAAAUGUUUCACCUGCUUCUCAUCUCUCAGCAUCUCUGUUACACUUCAUUAGGUCACGUUAGCUAGGUAGCGAACUAACUAUUGCAGAGCCGGAGGCAAACGACAUGACUGUUCUAUUUAGUCUGAUCCCAUCAAUCUGUAGAGGCAUCAACAACAAGCUCAGCACCAGGAACUAGUGAGACUUGCAAGUACAAACAAAUCUUCUGCAAGAGGUUGAGUAGAGUGGGUGGUGAAGAGUGUAUGAGAGGCUUGUCCACCUGGCUAUGGAGUGCAGAAAGGACCAGACGGUUGUCUACAAGGAGCCAGAGUCACUGCCCCCCAAUCCCAACAUCUCUGCCAACAUCACCACAGCCUAAACCAGCUGCCAUUACCAAACACAAGAGUUUCACCAGCUGAAGAACAUUCUGGAACUUGCCUGGAACAUUCAACCAACACAACAUCCAUAGUCAGACUGAUAUUGUAGUAUAAUAUAGAAAUCCUAGUAUGCUCACAACUGAAAUUUGCUAUAGAAAGUGCUAGGCUGUUGUACAAAUAUAUAUUUAAACACAACAUGUAAAGUGUUGGUCCUAUGUUUCAUGAGCUGAAAUAAAAGAUCCCAGAAAAUGUC